rnacentral:rRNA from 1 species
UACGUAGGGGGCAAGCGUUGUCCGGAUUUACUGGGUGUAAAGGGUGCUCAGGCGGGUUUGUAAGUCAGAGGUGAAACUCCGAAGCUUAACUUCGGAACUGCCUUUGAUACUGCAAUCCUGGAGUUUGAGAGAGGCGAGUGGAAUAUCUGGUGUAGCAGUGAAAUGCGUAGAUAUCAGAUAGAACACCAAUGGCGAAGGCAGCUCGCUGGCUCAAUACUGACGCUAAAGCACGAAAGUGUGGGUAGCAAACAGG